UCCCUCCAGAUGACAUAAUUUUGAAUUUACUAUCAAUAAACAUAAUUAAGUGAUUAUUAGGUCAUAAACAAAUUUCCUAAGAAAGAUUUCAGAUGUGCCCCACAUUUCAGAUAUUUCCACAGAAACAAAUCUUUACUGGUCUUCAGAAAAAUAUGUGACCUCUGAGUGCUUGCACUGCAUUUACAGAGGUGACCAAGCAGCUGAGAUACAUCCAUUUAAUGUCAUUUCUAAAAGCCCUUUGCAUGGUUAGGUCCUCCUCCUGCUCCUGACUACCAUUUAAACCAGACAGUCCCAGUGCUUAAAUCAACAUUGUGAUCCUACUUGGAGGUUUCCCAAACUGGAUAGUCUGUUGCUCAGCAGUUUUUGUCUUUUUGUUGUUGGUUGUUUAUGAUGAAAUAUUCUGAAGAUUCUGCAAGAUCUAGUAUAGCUGGUCAGGCCAAAUGUCCUGUGUAACAUAGGACAACAGCAGAUGAAUGAAUUCUUCUGUAUCUUUCUUUCUCAACGUCAAAAUGAAAAAGUGCAUGAUUUGGACUACGGUAUCUGGGAAAGAAAUGAAUGUACAACUUUUUUGCAAUUUUGACAUCCAUGUUGCCUACUUCAAACUAGCACCUACUUUGAGAAACGCUGUGAAGAAAAGGACAAAAGGAAAGUCUGGAUGCUACCAAGGAAAUAUCUAUGAGGACUGCAUCCUCAGAAGAAUCUGCAAGGAGCCUUGGAUGUGUCCACAUCCUCAUCCUGACCCCUAGAAUCAAAAGAGAUAAAACAUCAAGAUCCAGUGGUCUCCAAUGCCAAGAAAAAGCCUUGAUCCAAAAUCCAAGAAUAAAAGGCUGAUGCAUCCCUACCA
rnacentral:lncRNA from 1 species